rnacentral:misc_RNA from 1 species
CCCAGCGCCAUUUGCAAAUUUUAACAUUCUACAACUGCCUGGAGGAAGGAGCGGACGUGUGAGACCGAUUCAAACGUUUUUUAAAAUAUUUUGUGUGUGAAAUGUGAAUUUUUGUGCUACAAAGGCCGUCAUUGUUUUCUGUCACCUACAGAAUUGGUGUCCUGGAUGCGUAAAAGGGACAUGCAUAUCCUGAGCGCCGGGACUUUGAUGUACACGUCGGAUCUGAGGUUCCAGGUGAACCAUCCCCAGAAGUCCGAAAACUGGACACUGCAGAUCAAAUCUCCUCAACAACGAGAUUCCGGGGUUUACGAGUGCCAGGUCAGCACGGAGCCGAAGAUGUCGUUGAACUACAGCCUCAACGUGAUCGAGGCACGAGCAAGAAUAAGUGGCUCAUCGGAUGUAUACGUGAAAACAGGUAGCGUUCUGACGCUCACCUGCCAGAUGUCUCAAGGACCUCAUGAUCUGGGCACAGUAGCAUGGUACCGUGGUAGUCAGCCAGUAGUGACGUCGCCACAUUCGGAGAACGACGUGAACAGUGAACCUCGUAUCACCGUGGAAACUGAAUGGAGCGACGCUCUGACUUCAAGAUUGAAGAUCACCCAUGCAAAACCAGGCGACUCCGGGAACUAUAGCUGUGUGCCCACUGUGGCGGAGAAGGCCAGCGUCACCGUGCACGUCAUCAAUGGGGAGCAUCCCGCCGCAAUGCAGCACGGGAACACGGCAGCAGGCUCGCCAACAUCGAAGACGGUCCUCCUAAUGCUCGCCUUCUUUUUGGGUCAAUUGAGAUAAUGUGUGUUCUCGUACGUGUCUGUGCGUGGCAUUUACACGUGUGUGUCUCUGUAUGUGUGUGUGUGCGAAUGGACACGUGUGUGCACGUGCGAGUUUUCUCGCACAUGAUGAAUCUUUCCGAGCAUUAAGUGAAAUUCGAUGGAUCGUAGUCACCCCAUUCCCUGUUUGUACCUUGAUCGAAAUUCAAUCGACGGCUGAACGAGCAAUCAUCGACGAAGAAGCUUUCUUGUACCGUCGGAUCUACGGUGAAAUUGAUUGAACUUAAUGGUUUGACUGAAAAUCGAAGAAAGCUUCUUCAAUAAUCGAUAUCGAUCGAAAGUGGACGAAUGAAACAACGAUGGAGCUUUUCCCGAAAGCAUAUUUGUCUUGCGAUUGUUGGUGCAAGAAGGAUCGUCGAUGAAGGGACUCUGUAUGAAAUAUAAAAAGUAUAAAAACGCGUAAUCGUCGCGACUUUCAGUGCAUCUAUAGACACUCUAUCGAUUACGUCAGUCGUAGUAUCCCAGGUUCGAUAUGUGUAAUAACUUGCAGAUUACUACUGCGUUCUAGUGUCAUCGAGAUAAGGAAACAAGAACAGUAAUCGAAGCAACAUUUUACAUGGUGUAUGCUGUUAAUGGUGAUUAAUGAGAGUGCAAGGAUAUUAAGUGCGCAUGCGUUUGAAGACGGUAUUUCAGUACUAUACGUAAGAUCGCGAGGUAGGGAUGGUUUUGCGUGUGCCAUUAAUUAUUGUUCGCGGGGAGACGAUCGUUGCUGGUGCAAUAAUUCGUUCGUUCGUAAUAAAAUUUGUUCAGACAGGUUUUAGGCACUUUUAGCGUUCGUGACAAAGAAUUUUGAAAUUUUCGAAUUCAUCAAUUAGAAAAUUUGAGAAUCGGUGAACUUAUGCACUUGGAGAUUGGAAAGUCUCGAAUGCGAAAUUCGAGAAUUUGGAAAUUUAGGAAUUAGGAAAAUUUGAA